CUGUGUGCCAUGGGGUGCCAGCCCUGUCCCCUGUGCUCUGUCCCCAGAACGGCUUUGCGGUGGUGCGGCCACCCGGACACCACGCCGACCCUUCCACCGCCAUGGGAUUCUGCUUCUUCAACUCGGUGGCCAUCGCUGCCCGGCAGCUGCAGCAGAAGGGGAAGCUCAGCAAGAUCCUCAUCGUGGACUGGGACGUUCACCACGGGAAUGGGACUCAGCAGAUCUUCUACAGGGACCCCGAGGUUCUUUACAUCUCCCUGCACCGGCACGACGACGGCAACUUCUUCCCUGGCAGUGGAGCUGCUGA